GAAUCGUCGUGACUGGAUUUAACACUGUGUGCUUUUCAGAUGAUGUUGACCAACUGCCAACAAGUAGAGUAUAGGCCAUAUACAGACACGACGCGCAGGUCAACCAAUCAUCCAUCGGUCUGCCUUUUCGUCCCAGAGUUUACUUUGGAAAUUUCAAACUCUACGUUCAUACAGUUUCAAGCACCGUGCAGCCGACACGGCGAAUAUAUCGUUGUAGGAACUCUUAAUCUCGAAUAAUUAGUGCAUACUGUGUAUUCUCAUGGAAAUUAUUUACUGUCAGCAUGAAACUAUACUAUAGCAAACUAUUUAAAAAAAAAAAAAAACUAUCCAAAGCCGAAUAGUUUUAUUGAAGUACCAGUCGAUAUACCAUUUAAAUUAUACU